CAUUAUCGUUAGGACCUGACACUCCAUUACAGGGCCACCUUCACGUUUCCUCCUUAUACGUUGCAUUUGCUUACCCAAGUUAAUGGAAAGGAAGAACUAAAGAAACUAUACUCAAGAAGACACCUUCUAGUGGAAGAAAACAAAAGAUCCUCAUCAAUGGUAGCCAUGUUUAUAGCAAAGUGUUCACUCAAAGGCUCAAACUCUUUCUUUCUUUCUUUCACUUAAUCUUCUUGCAAAGUCUCAGGAAUAUGCUUCACUACCACCUCGUCCAAACACUUAGAGGUAAAAAAUUAUGCAUAUAGAUGAAGAAAAAGACCCGAAAACCAAUGAAGAUGUCACGGAAGGAGCAAAGGUGAAAAUGAAAGAAGUAACUAAUAGAGUGCGGAGACAGCCUGAAACAACAAAGAGAAGGCCAAAGAAGGAAUGGAGAGGAAAUUUUAGAAACUGCAUACGAACUGAAAGACAAUACAAAAUAAAAAUAAAAAAAACAAAUGGUGUGAAGAAGAUAAAACCAUCCCAAAGGAUUGUGGAAGUGAAACGCAUACGAGGCUUUUGGGGUUUAAUAGCUUUUAUGCAAUUGAUCAGGACUGGAUAAACAUAAAAGUAUAAAUAAACAAAAAUCGGCUUAUAACCGAGUAUGAUACGCUAGUAAUACUUGGUUGUUUGUGAUCGUAUCAAUAGCUCAAUUAACAUUUGCUACACAUAUAUCAAUUUGAUCAUAUUAUAUUUGCUUUUGAGCAGGUGAAAAGUACUAUCUAUGGCUUAGAGGAUUAUACAAGGGAGGCAACAACUAUUGAUCCUCGAGAGACAGUGUGUGUUUUCUGAGAAAGGUUCCAUUGUACUGUCAAUGGUAUCUUAUGAUUAUUUUAGUUAUGGCAUCUCGUUACACAAUGCUUAAGAAUAAAAUUCACACAAACGUUGUUCAUAACUCCACAAGACAAAGAUUACUUUGCCGAACUCUAUUCCAGAUAAUCAUGCAAUUACGAUGACCCACUCUUUUAUCUUCAUACACUGUAUUGUUAGAUAUUUGUGUCCUCUCUGUUUUCUUUGUUAGGGGAUUGUAUGAAAUUGUUAUUUCACGUGA